GCCGCGGUAAUACGAAGGGACCUAGCGUAGUUCGGAAUUACUGGGCUUAAAGAGUUCGUAGGUGGUUAAAAAAGUUGGUGGUGAAAUCCCAGAGCUUAACUCUGGAACUGCCAUCAAAACUUUUUAGCUAGAGUAUGAUAGAGGAAAGCAGAAUUUCUAGUGUAGAGGUGAAAUUCGUAGAUAUUAGAAAGAAUACCGAUUGCGAAGGCAGCUUUCUGGAUCAUUACUGACACUGAGGAACGAAAGCAUGGGUAGCGAAGAGGAUUAGAUACCCUCGUAGUCCAUGCCGUAAACGAUGUGUGUUAGACGUUGGAAAUUUAUUUUCUGUGUCGCAGCGAAAGCAAUAAACACACCGCCUGGGGAGUACGACCGCAAGGUUAAAACUCAAAUGAAUUGACGGGGACCCGCACAAGUAGUGGAGCAUGUGGUUUAAUUCGAAGAUACGCGCAGAACCUUACCAACACUUGACAUGUUCGUCGCGACUUUAAGAGAUUAAAGUUUUCGGUUCGGCCGGACGAAACACAGGUGCUGCAUGGCUGUCGUCAGCUCGUGUCGUGAGAUGUUGGGUUAAGUCCCGCAACGAGCGCAACCCUCACUUUUAGUUGCCAUCAUUUAGUUGGGCACUCUGAAAGAACUGCCAGUGAUAAGCUGGAGGAAGGUGGGGAUGACGUCAAGUCCUCAUGGCCCUUACGUGUUGGGCUACACACGUGCUACAAUGGCAUUUACAAUAGGAAGCAAGACGGCGACGUUAAGCAAAUCCUAAAAAAAUGCCUCAGUUCGGAUUGUACUCUGCAACUCGAGUACAUGAAGCUGGAAUUACUAGUAAUCGCGGAUCAGCGCGCCGCG
rnacentral:rRNA from 1 species